rnacentral:ncRNA from 2 species
UUUAAAAAUGGGCAAACUUACCUAAAGGCAAGGACGCAAAGCCAUGGGUCUAAGGGAUGUUUUCUAUGACUGCCAGGUUGCUUAU